rnacentral:tRNA from 1 species
AGCAGCGUGGCUACGUGGAAAGAGCACGGGCUUGGGACUCAGAGGUUGUGGGUUCUAAUCCCACUUCUGCCA